rnacentral:rRNA from 1 species
AGAAUCAACGCUGGCGGCGUGCCUAACACAUGCAAGUCGAACGAGAAAGUGGAGCAAUCCAUGAGUAAAGUGGCGCACGGGUGAGUAACACGUGACUAACCUACCCUUGAGUGGGGGAUAACCUAGAGAAAUCUGGGCUAAUACCGCAUAAUACCUUCGGGUCAAAGGAGCAAUUCGCUUAAGGAGGGGGUCGCGGCCGAUUAGUUAGUUGGCGGGGUAAUGGCCCACCAAGACUGUGAUCGGUAUCCGGCCUGAGAGGGCGCACGGACACACUGGAACUGAAACACGGUCCAGACUCCUACGGGAGGCAGCAGUGGGGAAUUUUGCGCAAUGGGGGAAACCCUGACGCAGCAACGCCGCGUGGAGGAUGAAGUCCCUUGGGACGUAAACUCCUUUCGAUCGGGACGAUUAUGACGGUACCGAGAGAAGAACGCCCCGGCUAACUUCGCGCCAGCAGCCGC